UGGGGAAUUUUGGACAAUGGGGGAAACCCUGAUCCAGCCAUCCCGCGUGUGCGAUGAAGGCCUUCGGGUUGUAAAGCACUUUUGGCAGGAAAGAAACGUCGCGGGUUAAUACCCCGCGAAACUGACGGUACCUGCAGAAUAAGCACCGGCUAACUACGUGCCAGCAGCCGCGGUAAUACGUAGGGUGCAAGCGUUAAUCGGAAUUACUGGGCGUAAAGCGUGCGCAGGCGGUUCGGAAAGAAAGAUGUGAAAUCCCAGAGCUUAACUUUGGAACUGCAUUUUUAACUACCGGGCUAGAGUGUGUCAGAGGGAGGUGGAAUUCCGCGUGUAGCAGUGAAAUGCGUAGAUAUGCGGAGGAACACCGAUGGCGAAGGCAGCCUCCUGGGAUAACACUGACGCUCAUGCACGAAAGCGUGGGGAGCAAACAGGAUUAGAUACCCUGGUAGUCCACGCCCUAAACGAUGUCAACUAGCUGUUGGGGCCUUCGGGCCUUGGUAGCGCAGCUAACGCGUGAAGUUGACCGCCUGGGGAGUACGGUCGCAAGAUUAAAAACUCAAAGG
rnacentral:rRNA from 1 species